CUGUAGUAAACAAUACAGAGAAAUACAGAGAACAAUACAGAGAAGUUUGGCAUGACUCCUACACAUAGAUGACACACAGAUUUGUGAAGCAUUUUAUAUGUUU